rnacentral:rRNA from 1 species
UACGUAGGGUGCGAGCGUUAAUCGGAAUUACUGGGCGUAAGCGUGCGCAGGCGGUUCGUUAAGUUCGAUGUGAAAUCCCCGGGCUCAACCUGGGAAUUGCGAUGGAGACUGCAAGGCUAGAAUCUGGCAGAGGGGGGUAGAAUUCCACGUGUAGCAGUGAAAUGCGUAGAGAUGUGGAGGAACACCGAUGGCGAAGGCAGCCCCCUGGGUCAAGAUUGACGCUCAUGCACGAAAGCGUGGGGAGCAAACAGG